CGAUGCAUUGAGCUAACCCGUACUAAUUACCCGUGAGGCUUAACCAUACAACACCCAAGAAGUGUUCU
rnacentral:rRNA from 1 species